AUGAAGCAAAUAAGGAUACGGGAGAGGCUUCAUGGUUCAAGUCUAUAUGGGUAGAUGAUGCGUGGGUUGAUAGCGUGGCUAUCGACAAAUAUGUUGACUUCCUAGAGGAAAGGCAGUCUGAUUGUGCAAUUGCAUAUCCCCAAGAUUGCAAGUUCUGUCCCACUUAUUUUAUGCCAUGCCUUCAAACUAGUAUGCCGACUCUAAGGGCGUAUCGGGACUCGAAGUCUGCUUCGGAACGUGCAAAGUUGGUAGGCAUGAUGAACAAUGUCAUCGCAAUUGCCAAGCAGUGGGGUAAAUCACACGCCAAGGAGAUUUGGUAUAGUGAACGGGUAAUUUAUUCAUCACAUAACAUCAAAAAAGGUCGUAAUGUGUUCUUUGAUCAUGUUUUUUAACUGAUAGCCUACUUCUUAAACAUGGAUAGGUUUAUGUACUCGUCAACCAUGAUAACUCUCAUUGGUUCUUGAUGGUCCUAUAUCCAAGACAACGGGAGAUCAUUAUUAUCGAUAGCUUAGUGUCAAAUGCUCUCCUAAAGUAUAAGCAGAUGAUCAAUUUGAUGACGGAGGCGCUCCCGAUUCUCUUCCAUGCCACCGGAGACA